ACAAAAGAUUAAAAGGUUUCAAGAAGAAGUAUACUGUCUCCCCCCUGAUAUUGUGAACAUGGCCCUUGAAAAUCAUCCAUAAGGAGAAUUCUUAUAGCCUAAAAAUAAUAAGCCAUUCAGGGUGGAAGACUACCCAAUGUUUAUAACAUUCUUGGACCUUAAAAAAUUAGCAUCCCAUCGUUAUAUUUUUGCACCUGUUUGCCAUUUCACAACAUUGGUGGUUAUGGUUGGCUGAUACAAGAAAGAGGAAAUUUUAUAUAGUCGACCCAUAUCACACAAAAUCUCCAUCCGAUAAGAGAACUGCGCUAAAUACAUUCGUUGGAUAUGUAAUUUCACAAAUUAAAGUAUAUGCUAGGGGGCACCUCUGAAAUCAAGGGACAAGGACAAGGAAAUUGUACCACCAUACAUUCACAUCUCAGGCCAAAAGACAAGCUAUGACUAUGCUAUCUACGUAAUGAAGUGGCUUGAGAUAUUUGAGCCCGCAAACAUUAAAAGGCGGAAGUAUGAGUGGGACAAUUGGACCCAGCACGAGGUGGACCACUUUAGAGUGGAAUAUGCUUCCCAGAUUCUAUUCCAUGACAUGAAUCAAGACAAAGCUGAAGCCAUUAGGGGAAGUAAUGUAAUAAGACUGUCCAAGUCAUCCUCAUUAUUAUUGAGUCCAUAUUGUCAGAUAGAUUCUAAGGAUAUUGACACUAAUUAAUAUAAAUGUUAUAUAGUCUUGUAACAAAUUGAACACAUGCUGUAAAAAUUUUUCAAUUAUAAUCCAGUUUAUUGUAAA